AUGACACUCGGUGAAUGGAGAGAGGCCAGGCCUCUUGCAUGUGUCCUCCCGAGAGUGUCCUCCCGAGAGUGUCCUCCCAAGACUGUCGUCCCACAUAUUCCAUCGUGUCCUGUUCCAGAAACCUCUUCCUUCCAUCGUGUCCUGUUCCAGAAACCUCUUCCUUCCAUCACGUCCUGUUCCAGAAACCUCUUCCUUCCAUCACAUCCUGUUCCAGAAACCUCUUCCUUCCCUCAUGUCCUGUUCCAGGAACCUCUUCUUUCCAUCAUGUCCUGUUCCAGAAACCUGUUCCUUCCAUCAUGUCCUGUUCCAGAAACCCCUUCCUUCCCUCAUGUCCUGUUCCAGAAACCUCUUCCUUCCAUCACGUCCUGUUCCAGAAACCUCUUCCUUCCAUCACAUCCUGUUCCAGAAACCUCUUCCUUCCCUCAUGUCCUGUUCCAGGAACCUCUUCUUUCCAUCAUGUCCUGUUCCAGAAACCUGUUCCUUCCAUCAUGUCCUGUUCCAGAAACCCCUUCCUUCCCUCAUGUCCUGUUCCAGAAACCUCUUCCUUCCAUCACGUCCUGUUCCAGAAACCUCUUCCUUCCAUCACAUCCUGUUCCAGAAACCUCUUCCUUCCCUCAUGUCCUGUUCCAGGAACCUCUUCUUUCCAUCAUGUCCUGUUCCAGAAACCUGUUCCUUCCAUCACGUCCUGUUCCAGAAACCUCUUCCUUCCAUCACGUCCUGUUCCAGAAACCUCUUCCUUCCAUCACGUCCUGUUCCAGAAACCUCUUCCUUCCCUCAUGUCCUGUUCCAGAAACCUCUUCCUUCCCUCACGUCCUGUUCCAGAAAUCUCUUCCUUCCUUUCCUGUAGAAUUUGCUGUCUCUCGAGUGUGUCUCUACUCAUUAAUGUUGCUCUUCUUUUCUUCCUUCCACUUCCUGUCGGUGUGUUCUCUGGGUCUCCUUUUGGCUUCUUCAGUUGAACACUCCAUUUUUUUGUUUCCAGUCCUUUAUGUCUGUUAUCAAAUUCACUUAAGGCUCGAAAUUUUCCCCAUGGCCGACUCGGCUGCACCUAUGAACAGGAGUCAUAGCAGCUGCGCUCUUUUAAAGCUCUAA
rnacentral:lncRNA from 1 species